AUACGGAGGGGGCAAGCGUUAUUCGGAAUUAUAGGGCGUAAAGGGCUCGUAGGCGGCCUAGCAAGUCAGUGGUGAAAUCCCUCGGCUCAACCGAGGAACUGCCUCUGAAACGGCAAGGCUAGAGGCCGGGAGAGGGUGGUGGAAUUCCCAGUGUAGCGGUGAAAUGCGUAGAUAUUGGGAGGAACACCAGUGGCGAAGGCGGCCACCUGGACCGGUUCUGACGCUGAGGAGCGAAAGCGUGGGGAGCAAACAGGAUUAGAAACCCUAGUAGUCC
rnacentral:rRNA from 1 species